UUGUCAAUAUUUUUUCUGUGUUUGGCAGAAGUAGUGGAGUUUUCGAAAAAACUAUUUUCUGGCCAAAAAAGAACCUGUUCUGGUUUUGUAGGGGGUUUUGCCGUUGAGAGUUCAACCAAGUGUCGUAGCGCUAAGGCCAGCAAAAAUCGAAACGCAAAAUAACCUGGAACUAAAAUGUGAAAUGCAAAGGGUUUGGCCCCAAAGACUAUUGGUUUGGGGCUGACCAGACUGAGGGAUUAGUUGCAUUCUAAAUGUGAGAGUAACUGUCCGACAUGAUUUAGAAAGUAUGCAACAAGUUUAAAAGUGAUUUGACAGAAAAUUAACAAAGAAUGUUUGUAGUAAUUUAUUAGAUCCUCAAAAUAUAACACAAAACACA